AAAUUGAAGAGUUUGAUCAUGGCUCAGAUUGAACGCUGGCGGCAGGCCUAACACAUGCAAGUCGAGCGGUAGCACAGGAGAGCUUGCUCUCUGGGUGACGAGCGGCGGACGGGUGAGUAAUGUCUGGGAAACUGCCUGAUGGAGGGGGAUAACUACUGGAAACGGUAGCUAAUACCGCAUAACGUCGCAAGACCAAAGAGGGGGACCUUCGGGCCUCUUGCCAUCAGAUGUGCCCAGAUGGGAUUAGCUAGUAGGUGGGGUAACGGCUCACCUAGGCGACGAUCCCUAGCUGGUCUGAGAGGAUGACCAGCCACACUGGAACUGAGACACGGUCCAGACUCCUACGGGAGGCAGCAGUGGGGAAUAUUGCACAAUGGGCGCAAGCCUGAUGCAGCCA
rnacentral:rRNA from 1 species